GACGAACGCUGGCGGCGUGCUUAACACAUGCAAGUCGAACGGAUUGCUUGGUGCUUGCACUGAGUGGUUAGUGGCGAACGGGUGAGUAACACGUGAGUAACCUGCCCCCUUCUUUGGGAUAAGCACCUGAAAGGGUGUCUAAUACUGAUUAUUCUGCUGGAAUCGCAUGGUUUUGGUUGGAAAGGUUUUUUCUGGUGGGGGAUGGGCUCGCGGCUUAUCAGCUUGUUGGUGGGGUAAUGGCUUACCAAGGCUUUGACGGGUAACCGGCCUGAGAGGGUGACCGGUCACAUUGGGACUGAGAUACGGCCCAGACUCCUACGGGAGGCAGCAGUGGGGAAUAUUGCACAAUGGACGAAAGACUGAUGCAGCGACACCGCGUGAGGGAUGAAGGCCUUCGGGUUGUAAACCUUUUUCGCUUUUGACCAAGGCAGCAUUUUGGUGUUGUUGAGGGUAUGAGGUAAAGAAGCUCCGGCUAACUACGUGCCAGCCGCCGCCGUAAAAC
rnacentral:rRNA from 1 species